AAAUAAAAAUUAAAAAAAAUUUUAAAAAAAAGAAACAAAAGCUCUCUAAUGACCAAGUCCUACACGAUAGUGAAUAAAUUUUUUUAAAGGUGAAAACGUUUCUUUUAUAAUUUCACAUACAAUCUUUAAUGGACCCAGUGUCCAACACAUUAAAGCAAGUGCUCAGGAGUGACAUCAAGAUGUAAAAAAUAGUCCUGUCCUCAGGGAGUUUAGGUCUUGGAGAAAAGAGACCCAAGGAGACACAAGACAAAGGGGAAAGAGAAGGAGCGCUGAAGACUGAGGACCCUGCCUGUGGACUGAAGUGAGGAUGGGGACACCCGAUGCCCGGAAUAUGACAGUUUGGAGGGGCCUGAAGGACUCUUCUAUUCUCUAUCAGAAAAACAGAAUUACUCUCCUAACCAGAAAAGGUAUUUCAAUUUAUAUUUUCCAUCACAGCACUUUUCUGGUGAUAAUUUAAUGUGUUUUAAAAAAUGUAUCACAGUGAUGGCCUGGUGUGAAAUAAAUAAUAAAAUUUUAAGAAUUAAAAAAUAUAAAAAUCUUUUAUAUAGACAUUAGGAGUUACAAGGAUAACUGUGAAUUAUAAUUAGUAAUUAAAUUGAAAUACUGAUUAUUUUCAUUUUUAUUUAAUUAUUUAAUAAAACCUAUUUAACAUUUAAUAUUUAUCAGUAAUUAAAUCUAAUUGUUAAUAUUUAUUAUUAUAAAUUAUUUUAGAAUUAAAAAUAAGUGUAGAAGCGAGGCAUGGUGGCUCAAGCCUGUAAUCCCAACACUUUGGGAGGCUAAGGUGGGAGGAUUGCUUGAGCCCAGUAGUUCAAGACCAGCCUGGGCAACAUGGAGAAACCCUGUCUCAAUACAAAAAAAUGAGCCAUGUGUGGUGGUGCGUGCCUGUAGUCCCAGCCAUUCUGGAGGCUGAGGUGGGAGGAUGACUUGAGCCUAGGCAGUCAAGGCUGCAGUGAGCCCUGAUCUUGCCACUGCACUCCAGUCUGGGCAACAGAGCAAGACCCUGUGUCAAUAUACAUAUGGACAAACUUAAAAUUUAAAAUGAAAGCAUACUACUGAUACAGAAUUGAGUAGAGAUGCAAAGCUAGUCCUAUAACCAGAACAAUAAAGAUAAAAAGGAGAGUGGAAGAAGGUAUGUCAUGAAUUUCAUGAUAAAUGGCAAUUGCAAAUAUCCUGUAGCAGAACAAAACAACAAAACUGUAGAUAAAACAUAUCCAACCCUUUGGAAGGCCAAGGCAGGAGGAUCAUUUUAGGCCUGGAGUUCGAGACCAGCCUGGGCACUGUAGCAAGACCCGUCUCUAUUAAAAAAAAAAAAAAAAAAAAAAAAGAAUACAAGACCUUGCUAACAAUAGCAAAGAUCAAUUAAUUCAAAAUUUGAAAAACUGUAAUUUAUUUAGCUUUAGAGUACUCUCGUGAUAUGAGAUUGCCAAAUUAAUACUUUGGGUGCAUUUCUUUUCUCAAAGGACUUGCAAAUUUACAAAGAAGUGUUGAAGAAAAGCCACACAUUGGCAGGUAAUGUUUGCAAAAGACAGAUCUGAUGAAGAACAAUAUUUUUAGAAUAUACAAAGAAUACUUAAAACUCAACAGUAAGAAAAUAACCUGAUUUAAAGCAGGCCAAUGACCUGAACAUCUGUUCACCAAAGAAGAUACACAGAUGCAAGUAUGCAUAUGAAAAGAUGCUUGACAUCAUGUCAUUAGGGAACUGCAAAUUAAAACAAGUAGAUACCACUGCAUACCUAGUAGAAUGACCAAAAUUUAGAACACUGUCAGCACCAAAGGUUGCAAAGAUAUGUAGCAAUAGUAACUUGUUCAUUACUGGUGAGAAUGCAAAAUGUGCAAUCACUUUGGAAGACAGUUUGGUGGUUUCUUACAAAAGUAACCAUACUUUUACCAUAAGAUUCACCAAUCACACUCCUUAGUAUUUAUCCAAAGGAAUUGAAAACUUAUCUCCACACAAAAACCUGCACAUAGAUGUUUAUAGCAGCUUUAUUCAUAAUUUAUCCAAAACUUGGAAACAAGAUGUCUUUCAGUAGGUAAGUGGAUAACUGUGGUACUUCUGAAUAAUGGAAUGUUAUUUAGAGUUAAAAAGAAAUGCAUUCACUUUGGGAGGCCGAAGUGGGUGGAUUGCUUGAGGCCAGGAGUUUGAGACCAGCCUGGUCAACAUGGGAAAACCCCAAUUAGCCGGGCAUAGUGGCGUGAGCCUGUAAUCCCAGCUACUCGGGAGGCUGAGAUAUGAGAAUCGUUUGAACCUGGGAGAUGGAGGUUGCAGUGAGCCAGUGCCACUGCACUUCAGCCUGGGCAACAGAGCAAGACUCCUCUGUCUCAAAAAAAAAAAAAAAAAGAAAGAAAAGAAAAAAGAAAAAGAAAAAGAAAAGAAACGAUCAAGCCAUGAAAACACAUGAAGGAAACUUAAAUGUAUGUUACUAAAAAGCCAACCUGAAAAGACUGCAUACUAUAUGACUCCAACUGAUGCAGGGCAAGCAAGCCAAAAAUUAGGGCUUAGCCCGGGAAGAAUUCAAGGGUGAAGUGGUGGUGUUAGCAACUUUUACUGAAGCAGCAGUGUACAACAGCAGAACAGGUACUGCUCCUUGCUGAGCAGGGCUAACCCAUAAGUAAUGUGCCCAGAGUAGCAGCUCAGGGGCAGUUCUGCAGUAAUAUACCUGCUUUUAGUUAAGUGCAUGUUAAGGGGGAUUAUGCAGAAAUUUCUAGAAAAAGAGUGGUAACUUCGGAGUAGGUACAGAGGAAAGAAGUCGAUAAUGUCCUGUUGUUGCCAUGGCAACGAAAAACUGACAUGGCGCUGGUGGGCGUGUCUUAUGGAGAGGUGCUUUAACCUCGUCCCUGUUUCGGCUAGUCUUCAAUCUGGUCCGGAGUAAAGUCCCUGCCUCCGGAGUUCACUCCUGCUUCCUGCUUCACAACUGUAUGACACUCUAGAAAAGACAGUAACUAUGGACACAGUCAAAAGAUUAGUUGAUAGAAAUUGGGUGACAGGAAGUGUUGAAAAGGCAGAACACAGGAUUUUUAGGGCAGUGAAACUUCUGUGAUACUAUAAUGGUGAAUACAUGACAUUAUACAUUUGUCAAAACCCAUAGAAAGCACAACACCAAGAAUAAACCCUAAUGUAAAUUACAGACUUUCGUUGAUAAUGACGUGUCAAUGUAAGUUCAAUUGUAAUAAAUGUACUACUGUGGUGCUGGAUGUCUAUGGUGGGGGGACAUUUUUGCUUCAAUAGUUACAGUUGAAGUAAAUGUUUGUGUUUCCCACAAUGCAUAUGUAGAAACUCUCACAUUCAAUGUGAUGGUCUUUGGAGGUGGGCUCUUUGGGUGAUAGUUAGGUUUAGUUGAGAUCCUAGCAGAUCGAGUCUUCAUGAUGGGCAUGAUGGGACUGGUCCCUUAUAAGAAAAGACCAGAAAGCUAGCUCUCUCUUUGCCAUGUGAAGACAUAGCAGGAAGGUAGCCAUCUGCAAGCUAGGAAAGGGCCUUCACAAAGAAUCAACUCAGACCUCAGAACAGUGAGAGAUAAAUUGUCGUUGUUUAAGUCACUCAGGCUGUGGUAUUUUGUUUCAGCAGCCCAACCUAAGACUGUUAAUUGGAUUAGAAAUUUCCUUUUGGGGAUGGUGUGUGGCGGGCGGGGGGCGGGGAGUACCUUUGUUAAGCUUUUAUAUCAAUGAGUUUGUAGGCUUUUCUUUUUUGGUCAUUGACUAGGACAGUUUAAAUAGUAUGAGUGUGAAGGAGAUUGUUGGUCAUCUAUUCGAUGUCCCUUCUCUGUUUUUUAAUAUGAGAACUCCUGAUUUUCAGCCAACUACCCUGGAAAAAAAGCUAAUCUUUCUGACUUCUUAAGUGUGGCCAUGUACUAAAUUCUGGCUAAUGCAAGGCAAGCCAAAGGUUUUAUGAUAGGUUUUAGGACACUAGAGUAAAAGAGAGCUGUUGCACACAUGCUCUUCACCCUACUUUUGUGUCCUUUUUUCCAUCCUACAACUUGGGUUGUGAGUAUGAUGGCUGGAACUUUAGUGGCUCUCUUGGAUCCCAGGGGUAAUUGAGGGGUGGCUGGAAGGAAUCUGUGAUUUUCUGGAGUUUCCAUACACAAACAAGACCUGGAUUUUCUGGGCUUCCCAGACUUCCACAUCUAGACUUGCUUUAAAUGGGAGAGAAAUAAACUUGUUUCAGCCACUGUCAUUUUGGGCUAUUUUAUAGAACUUAAUCUAAUCUUCAAGGGUACAUGAAUUGCUUUUCCUUAAAAAAAAAAUCAGCCAUAAAAUCAUCUUCUUUUUUCUUUUGUUCCCCACAUUAUUUAGUUGGAGCUCUGUAACUUUUUUUUUUUUUUUUUUUGAGACAAGGUCUUGCUCUGUCACUUAGGCUGGAAUUCAGUGGCAUGACCAUGGCUCACUGCAGCCUUGCCCUCCUAGGCUCAAGCAAUCCUCGUCUCAGCCUCCUGAGUAGCUGAAACUAAGGCACAUGCCACCAUGCCCAGCUAAUUUCUUUUCUUUUAGAGAUGGGAGCCUUGCCCAGGCUAGUCUCAAACUCCUAGCCUCAAGUGAUCCUCCCAUCUCAGCCUCCCAAAGUGACAGGAUUACAGGUGUGAGCCACCAUGCCUGGCUGCUCUGUAAGUGUCUGAAUUUCAUUUUGUAUUUAUCAGUCUGUUUAGAUUUUCUUUCCCUUCUUGGGUCAGUUAGGCCAUUGGUUUCUUUUUAAAGGUUUUCAAAUUUAUUUGCAUCUAAUUCUUCAAAUUACUCUCAAAAUUAUUCCAGUAUAUAUUCUUUUGUUCCUAUUUUCUUCUGUAUUCUUUAUUAAAAUAGCUAAUGAUUUAUCUAGCAGGACUUAUAUUCUUUCCAUAACUUUCCUGCACCCCAAUUAAUCUCCAAUUUUAUAUUUCUUCUGGCCUUCCUUAUAGUUUCCACAGGUUUAUUUUAUUCAUUUUUUAAAACUUUUAUUUAAUUGUUUAUUUUAUUAUCAUUCUUUCUUAUUCAGCAAUCUAAGUGCUUAGGGAUAUAGAAUUUCCUCUAAGCAGCAUAUGCUAGGCUUUAACAAUGUUAGGGAGGCCUCCCCUUUCUGGGGAAGACCACACUUACAUUAACACAGGACUGUGGGAUGCCAAGAGGUAGAGAAGAGCUUAUGAAUAUCCAGAUUACAUCUUCACUGAUCCUGCACAAAGGUGGGGUUCCUCGGUUACCCACUGGGUCCUAUUACCCAAGUCUGGGUCAGCAUACCGAGACUACGGGUAUAUAGAACAAGUGCAACUGGCGAUAAUCCUUCUGUUGGGGAGAAAAAUCUUUUUUUUCUAUUCAUCUUAGGUUCUCCAUCUGUGGCCCUAUCAAGUAGACUAACAAAAGACAGAUUGACAAGACAGAAACAAAGCAUGUGCAUUGUACAAACACAGGGGAGUACUGAGAUGAAUACUCAAAAGAGGAUUUAGAACUUGGGCUUAUAUAGCAUUUUAAGAAAAGAAUACAUUUUUUAAGUGACAAGGAAGACGAAAAGGACUUUGAGUUUCUAGUGCAGUAAAUUGUGGGAAGGCAACUUUUUCUUUCCCUUUUUUUUUUUUUUUUUUUAAAAAAAAAGACUUCUCUGGUGCUAUGUCCAGGCUGAUAAGAGUCUAAAGUCUCUGGUGACUAACUUUUGUUCUUCCCCGAGUAAGAAGACACCUUCACAAUUUCAUAUCCUGCUUUUAGGCAAAUAGGGAGAGGGCAGAGGUGUUUGUUUGUUUUUAAUCUAUUUUUUUUCUCAAUUGUCUUCAACUCAAAAUACUUCUUAUGCCAAAGAUGGCAUAUUCUGCUACCCUUCACUUACUACUUACAACCCAGCCUCUAU
rnacentral:lncRNA from 10 species